UCCACCUCUCCUCCUUGUUCCACCUCCAUCACUAUUCCUCCAUCACUCUUUCCUCCUGUUCUCUCUGUGUUGUCAUGUGUUGGCUCCUUGUGUGUUGUGGUUCUACUGGUGUUACUGGUUCUACUGGCACGACGAUGUGUUCACAGGAAACCUGAAGCUGCAGUCUGCUCAGCAGUGACAACAGAAGAUGUCAGUUACGGAGAGUAUGAUCCAGCUCUGACUGUUCGCUCAGCAGUGAGAACCGAAGACAUCACUUAUGAAGAUAUCACCAUCAGCCCAAAGAUGGCCAGAGACUUUAAACCAGAGCCAGACGUCAUCUACUCUUCACUGAAGUAGUCCACUGCUGCCCCCAGCACCUCAGACCAGAGGACAUCCAUAUGUUAUUAUUUAUUAGAAUAAAAUAAUUAAAAAAUAAUGUUCUAUUUUAAAAGUGUAUUUAUCCACAAAAUCAGCAAUAAUAAUAGAAAUAUGUUGAUGGGAUUUAUGUCAUUUAAAUUUAAUUCAUGAGUUUGGCACCUUGCUCUUUUUCCACUGGCACCACUUUAGUCUCUCCGGUUCUUUUAAUAAACUCUUACUCUCACUUUUUUUUCUCACAUGGUUCUUUGGAUUGUAGAAAUAUGUCAGAUAGAAACUUUGACUUGUCUCGGUUUGAUUAAUGCUAACAUGGCUAAACUCAAAUUAGAAUAACCAUAAAAUUGCAGAAGCUGUGACUUUUUAAUAGUUGAGUUUUUACCUCAGUAUACGUCACACAGAAAUUAACCGGCAGCAGCAUGACAUCUGGAAGGCACACAGAGUCUUUGCAGACUGCUAAGGAUCAGACUGUUAUGGUCCUUGGUCGGUGACCCAGUGUUUUUGGUUUUUGUACUUUUACUUUUGAUUUCAUAAAGGUUUGUGACUGUUUGUGUUUUGGGUUUUCUGUCCUAGUGUUUCUAGCUCCCUAGUUUCGUGGUACUUCCUGAGUUCUGAUUUUUAGGUUUUGUUAUUUGUCCCAGUGUUAAUUCUGUGCUCCCUCUGUUCUAUGUCAUCCCUACCUGUGUAUCCCCUCUAGUGUAGUCAGGUCUCUGUGUGAAGCCCGCGUCUCUGAGUCUGUCUUCACGUGUGUUUUGAGUUUCCUGCUUUAUUGUGAAAGUCUGUGUCUUAUGCCAGUGUGUUCAGUUUGCGUUUCCCCUGUCUCGUCUUGUCGAUCACAAUCAGCUGUGCCUCCCUCCUGUGUGCAGUUGCCUCGUUCCCUUCUGUGUAUUUAUAGUGUGUGUUCACUCAAGUUAGUUGCUAGUCCGUCUGUGUUUCUUCCCUGCGUGUUUCUCCCAGAGUCAUCCAUUCAGGUUCGUUUUGUUAGUCAUUCCCAGUUUAGGUCACCUUUAGGUUUUGCUUUGCUCGCCGUAUUUCUGUUUGUACCACCUGUGUUAAUAAAAAUUCGCUCACUUCCGAGCCAGUGCCUGCGUCUGGAUCCUGUCUCACACUCAUCACACGUCUGCCCCCGCAGCCGUGACACAGACAUCCUAUCAAUAUGCAA